ACAGUCCCUUCAGUCUCUACCUGGCAUGGUGACGUCAGAGCUCCGUCAAGUCCUCUUCUUCGCCCGAGUAAAAAUAGGGAAAUGUGGAAUAUCUCUGCGAAGGGGACAGGCCGCUGAAGUAACCUUUAAUCCCCACCCACAAAGUCAAAAAGGCAAGAGCCAGACAGAAAGAAUGGAAGGGAAAAACUGAACAGAUCCCUUUACCUCCUGUGUCCCGCGUUCGUGAUUGCCCUAAUGUGUCUCACCUGUGCCUUGUUAUACCCACGUCUUCACUGUAUUUAAUCCCUGUGUGACCUCCCUCGUGUGUUGGUUUGUCUUGUCCUUUUGUCAGCGUUCCAGCUAUCGUGUCCUGUAGACUUUCUGAAUUUUUGAAUUAAAAGUAAUUACCUUGAAUCCUGGAGUCUCGCCUUUUUGGGUUCAAUCCUGUGUGUGACAAUGAUAAGGAAUGAAUAAUCCGAAUCAGUGAUACUGUAGUUUGUGAGAUCAGGCCUUUGAAUUGUACUGUU